AGCACGCGGAGGUUUUAGUACGUAGGCAUAAUUCCAAUAGGGCUUAUGAAUCGUGCAUGCCACCUACGAACAGUAGGUGGUAUCUUUUGAAGAUUUUAAUUUUCCUACCGUA
rfam:Drosophila simulans chrT_M_1098 genomic scaffold, whole genome shotgun sequence.